GAGUAAUACGUGAGUAACCUGCCCUUGUCUUUGGGAUAAGCCUGGGAAACUGGGUCUAAUACUGGAUAUUCUGCUUCUGCCGCAUGGUGGGGGUUGGAAAGAUUUUUUGGAUGGGGAUGGGCUCACGGCCUAUCAGCUUGUUGGUGGGGUGAUGGCCUACCAAGGCGUCGACGGGUAGCCGGCCUGAGAGGGUGACCGGCCACAUUGGGACUGAGAUACGGCCCAGACUCCUACGGGAGGCAGCAGUGGGGAAUAUUGCACAAUGGACGCAAGUCUGAUGCAGCGACGCCGCGUGGGGGAUGAAGGCUUUCGGGUUGUAAACUCCUUUCAGUACAGAACAAGGCCUUUUUGGUUGAGGGUAUGUGCAGAAGAAGCGCCGGCUAACUACGUGCCAGCAGCCGCGGUAAUACGUAGGGCGCGAGCGUUGUCCGGAAUUAUUGGGCGUAAAGAGCUCGUAGGCGGUUUGUUGCGCCUGCUGUGAAAGACCGGGGCUUAACUUCGGGGUUGCAGUGGGUACGGGCAGACUAGAGUGUGGUAGGGGUAAUUGGAAUUCCUGGUGUAGCGGUGGAAUGCGCAGAUAUCAGGAGGAACACCGAUGGCGAAGGCAGGUUACUGGGCCAUUACUGACGCUGAGGAGCGAAAGCGUGGGUAGCGAACAGGAUUAGAUACCCUGGUAGUCCACGCCGUAAACGUUGGGCACUAGGUGUGGGGCCUUUUCCAUGGGUUCUGCGCCGUAGCUAACGCAUUAAGUGCCCCGCCUGGGGAGUACGGCCGCAAGGCUAAAACUCAAAGGAAUUGACGGGGGCCCGCACAAGCGGCGGAGCAUGCGGAUUAAUUCGAUGCAACGCGAAGAACCUUACCAAGGCUUGACAUACACUGCGAUGUGCCAGAGAUGGUGCAGCCUUCGGGGUGGUGUACAGGUGGUGCAUGGUUGUCGUCAGCUCGUGUCGUGAGAUGUUGGGUUAAGUCCCGCAACGAGCGCAACCCUUGUCCUGUGUUGCCAGCAAGUUGUGUUGGGGACUCACGGGAGACUGCCGGGGUUAACUCGGAGGAAGGUGGGGAUGACGUCAAAUCAUCAUGCCCCUUAUGUCUUGGGCUUCACGCAUGCUACAAUGGCCGGUACAGAGGGUUGCGAGCCUGUGAGGG
rnacentral:rRNA from 1 species